GACGAACGCUGGCGGCGUGCUUAACACAUGCAAGUCGAACGGAAAGGCCCUGCUUUUGUGGGGUGCUCGAGUGGCGAACGGGUGAGUAACACGUGAGUAACCUGCCCUUGACUUUGGGAUAACUUCAGGAAACUGGGGCUAAUACGGGAUAGGAGCUCCUGCUGCAUGGUGGGGGUUGGAAAGUUUCGGCGGUUGGGGAUGGACUCGCGGCUUAUCAGCUUGUUGGUGGGGUAGUGGCUUACCAAGGCUUUGACGGGUAGCCGGCCUGAGAGGGUGACCGGCCACAUUGGGACUGAGAUACGGCCCAGACUCCUACGGGAGGCAGCAGUGGGGAAUAUUGCACAAUGGGCGGAAGCCUGAUGCAGCAACGCCGCGUGCGGGAUGACGGCCUUCGGGUUGUAAACCGCUUUCGCCUGUGACGAAGCGUGAGUGACGGUAAUGGGUAAAGAAGCACCGGCUAACUACGUG
rnacentral:rRNA from 1 species